GAACCAAAGAAAACGAAUUUGGAUCGGGGAAAAACAAAAAUAAUCGAAUAGUCGUCUAUUCCGUCCGUCGAUAUCCGAGAUUUGGAAGUUGGUUAUGAGCUCGGCGAUCGUCAGAGAAGUCUAUCACACUAUCGAGUACUGUUUUCGGUAUUUUACUAAGUUUCAAAUUGAACUUAUGGCAUGUAUAGUCUAGUUAAUAUGUUUGAUUUCGAGUAUGUUAAUAUGAGCCAUGCGAAAAUGGCUUAUUUAUUUUAUUAAGCAUGGUUUUUAUGCUUUUGAUCAAGUGUUAGAUAUGUUGAUUUUGGUAUCUCAGCUAUGGAAUAUUUAUUUAUGUGAA